rnacentral:rRNA from 1 species
GACGGAGGAUGCAGGCGUUAUCCGGAAUGAUUGGGCGUAAAGCGUCCGCAGGUGGCAGUUCAAGUCUGCUGUCAAAGACCGGGGCUUAACUUCGGAAAGGCAGUGGAAACUGAACAGCUAGAGUAUGGUAGGGGCAGAGGGAAUUCCUGGUGUAGCGGUGAAAUGCGUAGAGAUCAGGAAGAACAUCGGUGGCGAAGGCGCUCUGCUGGACCAUAACUGACACUCAGGGACGAAAGCUAGGGGAGCGAAUGGG